rfam:Caenorhabditis japonica strain DF5081 Contig380.1, whole genome shotgun sequence.
GCCUACCUUACUCGAAUAACCCGUCGAUGAAGACUAACUAAAUGACGAAUCCUAACCAUCCAUUGCGGAUAUGAGGCAUUUGUCUGAGCGGG